GGGCGAUUAGCGCAGCGGGAGCGCAUCUGCCUUACAAGCAGAGGGCCGCAGGUUCGAACCCUGCAUCGCCCACCA
rnacentral:tRNA from 1 species